rnacentral:rRNA from 1 species
UAUCCAGGAUUCCCCUAGUAACGGCGAGAGAACCGGGAGAAUAGAUUGAGCCCCCUUUGUAAAUAUGAAAAAAUUUUAUUUUUUUUGAAUUGUAGUCUUCACAGGUUGGUCUUUUUGGCAGAAGUAGGUUGUCCAACAACCUUGGAAGAGGCCGCCCGACAGGGGGAGAACCCCCUUGGACAAAUUCAUUUUUUCAGAAACACACACCGCUCUCCUGUUUGAGUCGGGGUGUUUGGGAAAGCAGCCCUAAUGUGUCGGGGGUAAAUCCCCUCGAAGGGUAAAAAAUGGCGGGGGGCCGAUAACGAACAAAUACCGUGAGGGAAAAAAGAAAAAAACUUUGAAAAAAAAAUCAAAAAUGCUUGAAAAUGUUGAGAGGGAAAAGAUUUUAGUUUAGGUGAGGUUUGGGUGGUGCAGAGAUUUGGGGUUGGUUGCAGAGUUCAUUUUUGUGCCUCCCCAACCCUCCUGCACCCCCGGUCAGCAUCGGUUUCUGGAGGGGUAGAAACGCCAGGUUUUGGUUUGGACAGAAGUUGAUUUUUCAAUUUCAGUCCAACGCCUGGCUCAUGCCCUUCUCUUUUUGAGACCGGGGGAUCUUGAGCACGGUGCCCCAGAAGGGAUUAAUUCUUCCGCACCGGUGAUGGA